rnacentral:rRNA from 1 species
UACGUAGGUGGCAAGCGUUAUCCGGAUUUAUUGGGCGUAAAGGGAACGCAGGCGGUCUUUUAAGUCUGAUGUGAAAGCCUUCGGCUUAACCGGAGUAGUGCAUUGGAAACUGGGAGACUUGAGAGCAGAAGAGGAGAGUGGAACUCCAUGUGUAGCGGUGAAAUGCGUAGAUAUAUGGAAGAACACCAGUGGCGAAAGCGGCUCUCUGGUCUGUAACUGACGCUGAGGUUCGAAAGCGUGGGUAGCAAACAGG